UUCUUUUCAAAGGUCUUUAUUUCCAAGUGUGACAUUACAUCAUUUGGCCUUGACUAGCUUUUAAUGGUCUUCUGAAGUUGGCUAGCCCAUUCCUAGUAAUUGCAAGAGUGAAUUGGAGAAGGGAGGUGGUUGAGUUAAUCUUUGAAGCUUUUCCUGAAGAGAUGGGCUUUUGACCUGUGAUUUCAUUCUUUCCACAAGUGUUUGAGCAUCUCCUGUGUGCAUGACCCUUUGGUGAACAUAAAAAUUAAAAUCCUAGAUCACCAAAAUGUGUUUAAUGUGUAUAUAUGUGAAACAACUACAAGGUAACAUAUAAUUCAACCAUUAUGAAGCAUUAGUGUGUACCAAAUUAUUAUUGGGGAGGGAAAGAAAAUACAGAAUUCAGGUGACAGUCCCUCCUUCCCUCAUAGUUUGUGGUGCAAUACUGCUUACAAGAGAACUGGAAAUGCAAAAUAAAGAAGAGACCAUUGUGGGAUUAGAACAUUUUCCUUGGUCAGGUCAGUCAGAGCUGUCAGCAUGACCCCUCCCAGCCGGCUAGCAGUGCUUUAUUACCAGAAGCAGUCUCCAAAUGUGACCAACAGGGAAAGGGAUGGGAGGUGAAUACUGGUGGAGGACAGACUCGAGGGAUGAAACCUCUUCAGUCUCCAUAAACGUAGGGUAUUGAAGGGGCAGGAUGAGAGUCUGAUACCGUGAAGGGGCUAGGAACGAGAAACCGGUAUCUGAAUCCUAGACACUAGAGUGAGGGCCCAACGUAGGGCUUGAGUUAGGUAAGUGGAAAACAGUUCUACAACUCAAGUCCCAAAGAGGUGGGUCCAAGAAGGUUUGAUUGUCAUAACGGCAGAUUUAUGAAGGGGUUAUUAAAGAAAGCUGGAGGUGUUGGGAGGACUUUCUAAACUUUUGAGAUUAAUGUCAGGGAAGACAAGAAGCCAUCUCUAAUUCUGUCUCUUACUAGUAAGAGACUGAAUCUUUUGUCUGCCUGUAAAGAAAGCUCUUUUAUGAACUUAGGGGGUAAAUGGUGUUGGGUUGAAUGCUAUAUUUACUUGGUCUUCCCUAGGUAAAAGGGAGAGCAGAUUUAAUAACUGUAGGGUGGGGGUGAGGGGGGGAAAGGAGUAUAGAGAAAUGGGACACAAUAAGCCAGCCACGCCAUCAGGAGGUUUCCCAAUUGAGCCUGGACUUGGGUAAAAAAAAAAAAAGUGGACCAAUUAGCAUGUUACAAAGACCAAAGGUGACCAAAUUGAACAAUUUGGGGCCAUAAAUAUAGUUAGCCAGUGUACUAGCAUCCUCUUAAAGAGGAUUCUCAUCCUAGAGAACUUUAAAGAUUAGGUUAGAAAAGCUUAGAUACUGCAUAAUCUGUGAC
rnacentral:lncRNA from 1 species